rnacentral:rRNA from 1 species
GUCGAGAAUUUUGGGCAAUGGACGAAAGUCUGACCCAGCAAUGCCGCGUGCGGGAUGAAGGUCUUCGGAUUGUAAACCGCUGUCGAGGGGGACGAAAUAUGACGGUACCCCUGGAGGAAGCCACGGCUAACUACGUGCCAGCAGCCGCGGUAAUACGUAGGUGGCGAGCGUUGUUCGGAUUUAUUGGGCGUAAAGGGUCCGCAGGGGGUUGAUUAAGUCUGACGUGAAAUCUCUGAGCUCAACUCAGAAAUUGCGUUGGAGACUGGUUGACUAGGGUGUUGGAGAGGUAAUUGGAAUUCCAGGUGUAGCGGUGGAAUGCGUAGAUAUCUGGAAGAACAUCGAAAGCGAAGGCAGAUUACUGGACAACAACUGACCCUCAGGGACGAAAGCAUGGGGAGCAAACAGGAUUAGAUACCCUAGUAGUCC